rnacentral:misc_RNA from 1 species
UAGAAACACAAGCAUAAUAAUUCUACAUUUCUACUUCAUUAAAAUGUAAAGACAAUGUAUACUAUAAGUAAAAUUUUUUAGCAAAUAAUUAGAUAUCAUAAGUGUACUCGUCAAAGUGUAAUGAGCUAAUGAAGUUUGGUUCUAAAUUUUGAACGAGCAGCCUCGUUGAUGCUUAAAAAUGAAUCGACAAAAUCAUCGCCAAGCUGGUUAGGAUCUGAAAUCAUUCCUUCAUCAACUGUUAUCGCAAAUGUUAACUUCUUCGCAUAGCUACACGCAUGAACCAUUAGCCCAGUGGGCUGUCCAUAGCAUGUAGGGGCAAGGAAUGCCAAUGGAUGGCCUGACCAAGAAACUUCUUCAAUUGGACCAGCUACGUUUGAAAAGGAUAGUGUUGUUUGAGAUGGAACUCUUUUAGCAAGUUUUGCUGCACCCUAGGUGUCAUGCCGAUGCAAAUUUAAACAUAACAAAAAGAUAUGUUACAUUUCUAUUUGAUCCAAUGACAGGUAAGGUGUAAAGAGGGGGGAAAUAAAAUCUGGAAUACCCUAAAGCCAAACAAGUUAAGGAAAAGCUGCAAAAUGUAAAAGGUGCAUUGAGCCUCAAGAGAACGCUUUUUCCGAUCCAUUGAUAUCUUAGCUUUGUGAACAUAAUCAAGAGGAUUUUGUAAUUGAGCUAUAUCUAAAGGAAUUAGCACAAACCCAAAGCAAUUUCCUUGUAUUACUAUCGCAUUCUUCUCAAUCAUUUCUGCUAGGCCUGCCAAUUCAUCAUAAUUAAUUGCGCCAUUAGACCGUACACAUAUAGCAGCACAUGAUGAAGAAAUUAUACUUACUUGAACUCCCAAAGCUGGUCUCAGAUUCACUAGAACAGUGGCUCUGCAUCUCAUUUGUUCUUUCAUCUUGCCUUCAACAUCUACUUAACAACAAGUAAAUAAUUCCCAAAAUUGAAUUUUAGUCUCCCCAUUAAUAUAGACAAAAAAAAUAAUUUAAUUACCGUAUUUUCGGUGGAUAUAACGAGACAAAGCCGCUUGUGUGAUUCCCAAAAUAACAUCGUUAAUAGUCUAAAGAUGAAGCUUGUGUUAUUAGAUACAAGUAAUAAUUAAAGGCCAAAAUAGUGAUAAUGUAUACUUACUGCGUUUGUGGCAUUUUUUAUAAAUAAAUUUAAUAUCGUCCAAACUAAGAGUCCGAUAAACAAAUCUCUGGCGAGUAGAGUGCUUGUUGUUAAAUCCUUUUGCAACUGUAAAAGGUGAUUGGGAAUCCUUCAAGAAUAGAGCAGUCGCGCCAAAAAGCAAAACAUCAACAACUGUAUUGAACAAAAGCCUGAUGAACAGCCACAACUUUACCAUGUACUGCCAUAGCAAGGACCUAAUAUUUGUUCUAUUACUGCUAUUUGAUUUCUUCUCCUUCGAAUAAGAAACUGGAAGUGUAGGCAAAGAAGUAGGAUCCGAUGGUUUUCUAGAACAAGAGAGUAAGAGGGACAUAAGGGCAAUUCCAUCUCCAAGAGAAUGGUGAAAACGGAAAACAGAAGUUGCCUCAGCAUGGGAUGUUUUCACGUUAAGUAUGUGAUAAUCCCAUAGAGGUUUCGAUAUGUCAAUAUUUGUCGUGCUUAGGUUUGAUAUAUACUGUUCGACCAACUUAUCUGUGUCCAUAUUAUUAGUAACAUCCAGCUGGGGUACUAUGACAUGAUCAUCUACAUUCACUAUUGUCGGAAUCCAUCUCAUUUCUCCACUCUCAUCCAUAACCUGCAAACUGGAGAAGCGCGGGUGUUUAAGCAACUUGCUUAGUAAUUGGGCUUUGAGGGAGUCAAUGUCAAGUGGUAUUUUCCAACCCAUGAUUGCUACAAUAUGAAUAUUGAAAUUAGGUUCAUGGAACAUUCGAGAACCUGGACUCAAUAAUACUGCUUCUUCUUCUUCAUCAUCGUCAUCAAAUUUCUUUGAUGUUCGUAUAGGCUUGAGAACCAUUUUCUUUCCACCACACUCCAUAUUAAUGGAACUAUACAAUUUAGCCUAUACCGCUCAAAAUAUUUAAAGAAGUAAGGAAGCUUACCUUAGCUUUAAUUGGG